rfam:Camelus ferus unplaced genomic scaffold scaffold1060, whole genome shotgun sequence.
GAGGGUAUAGCUCAGUGGUAGAGUGUGUGUUUAGCACGCAUGAGGUCCUGGGUUCAAUCCCCAAUACUUCUA